rnacentral:rRNA from 1 species
CCUACGGGGGGCUGCAGUGGGGAAUAUUGGACAAUGGGCGAAAGCCUGAUCCAGCCAUGCCGCGUGUGUGAAGAAGGCCUUCGGGUUGUAAAGCACUUUCAGUGGGGAAGAAAGCCUUGGGGCUAAUACCCUCGAGGAAGGACAUCACCCACAGAAGAAGCACCGGCUAACUCCGUGCCAGCAGCCGCGGUAAUACGGAGGGUGCGAGCGUUCAUCGGAAUUACUGGGCGUAAAGCGCGCGUAGGCGGUCUGAUAAGCCGGUUGUGAAAGCCCCGGGCUCAACCUGGGAACGGCAUCCGGAACUGUCAGGCUAGAGUGCAGGAGAGGAAGGUAGAAUUCCCGGUGUAGCGGUGAAAUGCGUAGAGAUCGGGAGGAAUACCAGUGGCGAAGGCGGCCUUCUGGACUGACACUGACGCUGAGGUGCGAAAGCGUGGGUAGCAAACAGGAUUAGAUACCCCUGUAGUC